GUGGGGAAUUUUGGACAAUGGGCGAAAGCCUGAUCCAGCCAUGCCGCGUGCAGGAUGAAGGCCUUCGGGUUGUAAACUGCUUUUGUACGGAACGAAAAGACUCCUUCUAAUAAAGGGGGUCCAUGACGGUACCGUAAGAAUAAGCACCGGCUAACUACGUGCCAGCAGCCGCGGUAAUACGUAGGGUGCAAGCGUUAAUCGGAAUUACUGGGCGUAAAGCGUGCGCAGGCGGUUAUAUAAGACAGAUGUGAAAUCCCCGGGCUCAACCUGGGAACUGCAUUUGUGACUGUAUAGCUAGAGUACGGUAGAGGGGGAUGGAAUUCCGCGUGUAGCAGUGAAAUGCGUAGAUAUGCGGAGGAACACCGAUGGCGAAGGCAAUCCCCUGGACCUGUACUGACGCUCAGGCACGAAAGCGUGGGGAGCAAACAGGAUUAGAUACCCGGGUAGUCC
rnacentral:rRNA from 1 species